GGGACUGGAGAACGCCGAUCACGAGGUUCAUCCUGACAGGAGAAACACCGACAGACCCGAUGGAGGCCAGGAAGCUAAGGAACAGGGCGGCCUGGUUUGUAGUAGCCCAGGACAAGCUAUACCGACGGUCGGCAGCAGAGGAGGCCCCCCUGCGACUGUGCGUCCCACGUGAAGAGGGGAAGACCAUCGCACGAAGCCUGCACGAGGGGGCAAGCGGAGCGCACCAAGGCGGCAGGGCGCUGGAGAAGCAAGUAGCCAGGN
rnacentral:lncRNA from 1 species